UUAUCCAUUCUGGCAGCUAACUAACAAAUACGAUUAUUAAUAAAGAAGUACAUAAUGGAUAUUAAUUCCAUUUAAAAAAUAGUACAGAAAAAUGACACAUGAAUAAUAAUUAAAGAAGAGUACACCACAACAGGUGCAAAACUAGAAAAUAUAUACUCCCCUUUUUUUAGUCACAGACAGAUACAGAUAGGGAGAGGGUGGGUUGUAAGGUGAAUGCCAAAUCCUAGUACAUAUUCUCUCUCCCUCACAUCUCUCUCUAUCUCUCUCCCUCUCAUCUCUCUCUAAUCCAGAUUUCAGAAGCCAGGAUCAAAACAAGUGAGUUUUUAAACAAGUCUCAUCUCUCUGUCUCGUUUCUCUUUCAAACAAAUGUUCCCAGGUUUUCAAGAUGUGUUCUUGAGCUGAUAUCAAUUUAUCGCGAAUGGAAGGAGAUACAUUUUCAGGCCUAGGCAACAGUGCUCAGAUAGAUGCCAAGAUAAUGCACACGUUUCAGAAGAGUUUUGUUCAAGUCCAAAACAUAUUUGAUCGGAAUAGGGUGUUGAUCAAUGAGAUAAAUCAGAAUCAUGAAUCAAAAGUUCCAGAUAAUCUGAGCCGGAAUGUCGGUCUGAUCAGAGAGCUGAAUAACAACAUAAGGAGGGUGGUUGAUCUUUACUCCGAUCUUUCGAGCAAUUUUAGGAAAUCCAUGGAUUCAUCUGAAGGAGAUUCGAGUGGUGCUCUGAGACUUGAUAGCACCGGUACCCACAAGAGAAAUAGGCCCGGUUAAUAUAGCUAUCGACUUCUUUUCAGCUGCGCAAUUUCUUGAGGUAAUAAAAUAAUAUGCGACUAAAUGGUGCAGCCUUCUUCUUCCUUAAUUUACUUUGUAGUCUUUAUUAAGUAACAUAUCUGGCAGAAAUAAUUGCUCAAAUAUGUCAAAUUGUACUCUGUGAUGUGGAUCUAAUUGGAAUCAAUCAAUUCUAUAUCAGUUUCAGGUUUAAA